rnacentral:lncRNA from 1 species
GCUUUCAAAUCUGCCCACCACAUCUUAGUGAAAAGUGCACUGUCUUUUUUGUGUUCCUUGAAUUCCCUUUGUCUAUCUGGUUGACGUUGACUGUGGUUUCUGGUUUCUGGAUUUUGAUUACUGGUACCUGUAAUUGCUUUCUAGCCCUUUGUUGCAACUCUGUGUAUGAGGAAGACUUGGACCAUAGAAGUUUCUCAGAGGGACUUGGCUAUCUGCAUUGGCAAGUGAUAGAGUGGUGAGUUUUCUCUUUUGUUGGGCAUGAUGAUGGCUGGGAAUGUGGUACGAGCAACUGGGAAGCUGAACAGCAGCACUAGUAGACAGCAUUUUAAUAGUUUUUCUUGCUUAAAUAAUGCCUGAC